GCCGCGGCGACCCCUAGUGGCCGCGGGUUCGGGCGCCGCGCUCAAGGGCUCCCACGUAGGCUGUGCCACACGGUCAGAGGUUAGACAUCGGGAAGAACUUCCCAGCGUUGCACUUCUCGUGUAUUUAACAAAAACGGAGAGACCCUCUUGGACCACGUAGUGAACGAGCGACUAAGGCUCCCGAGCGCGGAGACCUUGGCCUGGUGACCCGUUGCUGCAGACAGUCUACCAGGAGGGAUGUGGGAGCUGCAGUCUGGCUGGGAACGGGGCAGGUGCAGGUCUGAAAGCUGCUUGGCGGCCGGUAUAGGUGACAGACAUGGGCCGCCUGGUGUAAAUCCGGACCCUGCACCCUUGCCAGCUGUGUGACCAGUGUGCACUUCAUUAACUUAUGUGCUUCAUUUCUAAAAUGGGGUUGAUAAAAGUUUCUACUGCAUAGGGUUGUAAGGAUAAAAUGAAUUAAUCCAUGCGAUGUUUUGUUGCACAGGCCCUGGACCCGAACAAGUGCACACUAUUAAGUUGUUAUAGAAUUUUAAAAGAAUUUAUUUUUUAGGUUGUAUAUUGCAAAGGAAUAUAAAUUCUAGGUCAUUAAAGGGAUGUAGUUUUGGGGGGAGUCUCGCUUUGGGGAGCAGUCAUCAUAUUUUGAGGAAAUCCAAACUAACCAAACAGAGAGAUGACACAGGAACUGAGGCCUCCAGCCAACUCCCAGCAUCAGCCACUAGACAUGUGAGCGAACUGGUUUCCAGAUACUACUUUAUUUUUACAAAUUGAAGGCAAGACCCUCCACCAGCAACGAUUACAGAUUGCUUCAUUGCGAUGUCUGCAACUGAACCCACAAUACCUGUAAGGACCGGGAAUUGAACUGGCAACCUUUCGGUGCACAGGGCGACACUCAACCAACUGAGCCACUCUGGCCAGGCUAAAUCUGUAUACUUUUAUUAAGACAAAAACUAGCAGUGUGGUAUAAAGUUUACAUUUAAGGUUUUCACAGAAACCUAUCACAUGCCUGAAAAGAUUUCACAAUGGAGCGCUAGUUGCUGGUCUAGAUGAUGUCAAGAACUGAUGGAUCUCAUGAUUCAGGACAGAAUUAUAGGUAUUAGUUAAUCUUUAAGGAUUAAAAAAAUAAUUUUUGUUUUGCUUUGUGUUUUAAAGUUAACUACUGAUCAACUAUGAAAGUUUAAUCUUCUCCUGAGACAAGGGCUUUCGAAAUCAUCCAACUCACGAAGUGAUUCGAUGAACUUGAGAGAAAGAGUGACUGAACCCUGCCAGGGAUGGUUUCAGAGUUCACAGUUCAAAAAGACAACAACAAAACAAAAACAAACAAACAGAGAGGCUCAGAGUCCACCCUAACAUCAAGGGCCUUCCUGUGUACUCUC